ACAUCGGUAGUUCAGUAGGUAGAAUUCUCACCUUCCAUGCAGGAGACCUGGGGUCAAUUUCCAGCCAAUGCA
rnacentral:tRNA from 1 species